rnacentral:misc_RNA from 1 species
UUUCCGUUGGUGAACCAGCGGACGGAUCAUUACAGAGAUCAUGCCCUUCGGGGUAGACCUCCCACCCUGUGUUAUUUACGAUUGUUGCUUUGGCAGGCCGCCUUCGGGCACUCGGCUCCGGCUGAGGUGCGCCUGCCAGAGGACCCCCAACUCUGUGUUUAGUGUUGUCUGAGCAUUAUAUUUAAUAAGUUAAAACUUUCAAAAACGGAUCUCUUGGUUCUGGCAUCGAUGAAGAGCGCAGC